CACCGCAUGCCUUCCGGGAGAACCCUUUCACCGCCCCCAACCUGGUGUGUGCCG
rnacentral:ribozyme from 1 species